rnacentral:rRNA from 1 species
GAUGAACGCUAGCGGGAGGCCUAACACAUGCAAGCCGAGCGGUAGAGUUCCUUCGGGAACUUGAGAGCGGCGUACGGGUGCGUAACACGUGUGCAACCUACCUUUAUCUGUGGGAUAGCCUUUCGAAAGGAAGAUUAAUACCCCAUAAUAUAAUGAUUGUCAUCAAUUAUUAUUGAAAACUCCGGUGGAUAGUGAUGGGCCCGCGCAAGAUUAGAUAGUUGGUGAGGUAACGGCUCACCAAGUCAAUGAUCUUUAGGGGUCCUGAGAGGGAGAUCCCCCAGACGGGUACUGAGACACGGACCAGACUCCUACGGGAGGCAGCAGUGAGGAAUAUUGGACAAUGGGUGAAAGCCUGAUCCAGCCAGCCCGCGUGAAGGAUGACGGUCCUAUGGAUUGUAAACUUCUUUUGGACAGGGAUAAACCUACUCUCGUGAGGGUAGCUGAAGGUACUGUACGAAUAAGCACCGGCUAACUCCGUG